CCCUCCCUCUCCCUCCCUCCCUCUCACUCUCCCUCCCUCUCUCGAUCUCCCUCUCGUUCUGUUUAACAGGUCUGGCGGCAUGACUUUCCCAACUUCGAGAAAUAUUCCACAAGAUCAGUGAGUGCUGGUGCAGACGAUGCAGCCUUCGUCGUCAUGUCACCAGAGAGCUUCAAAAGUGCGUCGUGAAAUGGCUGUGGCAUAGAUCCCAAAGCUUCAUCCACACCAGCACUGACGCGAGGAGGCAGUUGAAUCCCAACACUUGGAGACCUUGUGGGAGUUGAACUCUCUGCAAGUGAUUUGGUGCCAGGUGUCCUAAAUUUAUUAGUGCUCAACAGCACAUUUAUCCUCAACGGAUUCAAGAGCUGAGUUACAACAGCAUCACACAGAUCAUCAUCAUCCACAAGUGUUACAGCAUCACCAUCUUCAUCAACAUAUGUAAGGGUGAAAUCGGCAUCUGGGUUGAGUUUGAAAAGGAAUAUUACCCUGUACAAAUUUGAUACCUGGUCUGUUUUUCAUCACCGUAUCCCCCGGUGGCUGGUGAGUCUUAUCAGUAAACACCUUAACAAGUGCUGGGAUUCAGUGUCUAGGCCAAAAUGGGUAUGACGGACGAGUUCGAAGCUUCUUUGCAAGUACUACGGGGAUUUGAUACUGAUAUUUCUUUUGAAGUGAAUGAAAUCAAGAUUUCAUGUGUAUACAAAUCCAACCCGUUCAAAGCUGAUUGAGACUAUGGUAAUCAUACUCCAAAACUUCUAUAUUCAUAUACUCAUCAGGUGGGCCAUGCAUAUACUUUAUACCAUACUGACGUUUUUCCAUUUUUCCUAUGAUUUAGACUGUUUGAUGAGUGGAUCAAUUCAACUCUUUCUAU